AUGAGACAUAUAUGAUUGGAUGAAUUAUUCACAAUAAGAUCAAUAAGAUGCAUUUAGAAAAUAGAUAGGGUGAACUUCCAUUUCAUGCUGACUUUAAGCUCAGAAAGGAGAAUAUUUUUUAAAAAUUCAAAUAUCAAAGCAUCUCUCUCUCUCAGGUCAUUAACUGUGAUCAGAUUAUUUGAGACGUGAUCAGAGAGGAGGUCGAUGGUUCUAAUAAUAUAAUGAGCAAGUGCACUAUUCAACUGAUCAAGCUUUGCUGACUUACACACCAUUACAUCAUCUGUUUUCAUCAUUUGCUUGAACCAGCCAGGAUGACAAGGAGUCAAGGUGAGAUGGGCAAUACUGAGAAAAUCGUCAGCAAACAAAAGAAAGACUCAACUGAGCUUUGAGCUUGCAAAAACAAAUGCUUGAGAUCUUUCAUCCCUUUUAGUUCUGCUGUGCCGAGGAGCACAACCCAACCCUGGAGGACUGUUUCUCUCCACGUUCACUCGAAAUAGCUGCUCCACACCCUGGGUUGCCCAUCAGUCUUUAGAAAUGUGACCCCAAUACCAAGGACCAUGGAGACUCGACAUAGUCUUGGCAGCCAAAAGUGCCCAGAUGUCCCUACGAUAUUGGGCAUGCGUCCAAGCCGUCUGAGUGGCCCGAAAUACUUCAUGCCACCAGAUAGAAAAGGGGGCUGAAAGAAAACAACUCCAAAAUGGCAGCCGAAGCAAAGCAGGGAGAGUAUAAGGGGAAGUGAACAGCUUGCAGCCAGAAGGUCAGCCACCCAGAGUUCAGAGAAUAGAGAGUGGCUCGGAAAGGUGUACAGACGAUGACAGUGACUGGCUUUGACAGUCGGACAUGGGAGAGAGGUCCAAAAGCAAGUGACAGAGGAGAGUUCCUGUGCGAGUGAAGUCAAGAGCCGGAGACGCUGCACAUAUGGUGAAGGGUGUCAUAGUUCCUGUCUGUAGCUCUCGGAGGAGGCCAUAUGCCCCCACAGCAGGUCUGGACACCAAUGGACUGCCAUUAUCUGCAUAAUUUAACAAGAAAAGCCCAGGACCAGAGAACAUGGAGCGAGAUGAAGGAGACUUGUAGCAGAGUCGCCAGGAUUCUCAUCGGCCUGUUUCUCUCCCAUUAACCCAAGAGACCCUGGACAACCAACACUUUAACCUCCUGGUAUUUUUGCUUUCUUUUGACAUGGAACUUCUUCAGUGACAGUGCAUCAUCUAUGAUGUGAUGAUUCACGACCGCCCACCUCUGCGUUAACACCUCACGAUCAUUGCUGCAUGUAAAUGCACACAUUUAGUAAAUGUCUCCCCUACAAUUAAAAGAGACGAGAGGAGGAUAUAUUCAACAUGUUGAAUACUGUACCUGUCAAGACUCUGAAAUUAUUACAAUCACCCCCUGAAGCAAACCGGAAAGCCUGUCAGAUGGAGCUGUCUCCCUCUCUGCAUACAUAGCCACAGCUAAUGAGCAAAUGAGCCGUACAGACAAAAACCUGUUCUGUGCAGACAGUUGAGGAGACCAUCAUCAUAGUCAACCUGAAAUGCACUCCAAACUUUAGUUGAACAAAAUUGGAUGUGCCCUCAAACUGUUUUGUAGCUUGUGUUGAUUUCAGCCACUCUGCUAUAUGCAAGUAAUAAAUCUCUGUCAUCUGAAA